rnacentral:rRNA from 1 species
UAGACGCAGCAACGCCAUGUGUGGGAUGAAGCAUUUCGGUGUGUAAACCACUGUCAGCAGGGGAAUAAAUGGGUCGCUUCGGCGGCAGUUGAAUGUACCUGCAAAGGGAAGCCCCGGCUAACUUCGUGCCAGCAGCCGCGGUAAUACGAGGGGGGGCAAAUGUUGUUCGGAAUCACUGGGCGUAAAGGGAGCGUAGGCGGACUUUUAAGUUAGGUGUUUAAUCCCGGGGCCCAAUCCCGGACAGGCACCUAAAACUGGGAAGUCUUGAAUAGUGGAGAGGACGGCGGAAUUGGGGGUGUAGCGGUGGAAUGCGUAGAGAUCCCCCAAGAACACCAGUUGCGAAGGCGGCCGUCUGGACACAUAUUGACGCUGAGGCUCGAAAGCAUGGGGAGCAAACAGGAUUAGAUACCCUGGUAGUCCAUGCCAUAAACGAUGAAUACUAGGUAUUGGGCCCGUCAACGGUCCAGUGCCGCAGCUAACGCGUUAAGUAUUCCGCCUGGGGAGUACGCUCGCAAGAGUG